rnacentral:rRNA from 1 species
GUAGGGAAUCUUCGGCAAUGGACGAAAGUCUGACCGAGCAACGCCGCGUGAGUGAAGAAGGUUUUCGGAUCGUAAAACUCUGUUGUUAGAGAAGAAUGUUGAUUAGAGUGGAAAAUUAAUCAAGUGACGGUAUCUAACCAGAAAGGGACGGCUAACUACGUGCCAGCAGCCGCGGUAAUACGUAGGUCCCGAGCGUUGUCCGGAUUUAUUGGGCGUAAAGCGAGCGCAGGUGGUUUAAUAAGUCUGAUGUAAAAGGCAGUGGCUCAACCAUUGUGUGCAUUGGAAACUGUUAGACUUGAGUGCAGUAGAGGAGAGUGGAAUUCCAUGUGUAGCGGUGAAAUGCGUAGAUAUAUGGAGGAACACCGGUGGCGAAAGCGGCUCUCUGGACUGUCACUGACACUGAGGCUCGAAAGCGUGGGUAGCAAACAGGAUUAGAUACCCUUGUAGUCC